rnacentral:rRNA from 1 species
CAGUAGCCGCGGGAAUACAGAGGGUGCAAGCGUUAAUCGGAAUUACUGGGCGUAAAGCGCGCGUAGGUGGUUUGUUAAGUUGGAUGUGAAAGCCCCGGGCUCAACCUGGGAACUGCAUCCAAAACUGGCAAGCUAGAGUACGGUAGAGGGUGGUGGAAUUUCCUGUGUAGCGGUGAAAUGCGUAGAUAUAGGAAGGAACACCAGUGGCGAAGGCGACCACCUGGACUGAUACUGACACUGAGGUGCGAAAGCGUGGGGAGCAAACAGGAUUAGAUACCCGUGUAGUCCCUGUCUCUUAUAA